UACAGAGGGGGCAAGCGUUAUUCGGAAUUAUUGGGCGUAAAGGGCGCGUAGGCGGCUUUUCAAGUGACGGGUGAAAUCCCUCGGCUUAACCGAGGAACUGCCUGUCAGACUGGAAGGCUUGAGACCGGGAGAGGUGAGUGGAAUUCCCAGUGUAGCGGUGAAAUGCGUAGAUAUUGGGAGGAACACCAGUGGCGAAGGCGGCUCACUGGACCGGAACUGACGCUGAGGCGCGAAAGCUAGGGGAGCAAACGGGG
rnacentral:rRNA from 1 species